CACCAGCUUCCUGUGAUUGCUGUGACCUUCUCUCUGCUCCCCAAGCACAGUGUCAUCCAUUUGAUAGUGGCUGUACUUGGUAUUGCAGUUCAGCCCAUUCACUUCAAUAGGGCUGGGCUGUGCCUAGGCCA